AGCGCAGGUGGUUGUAUAAGUCUGAAAUAAAAGGCAGUGGCUCAACCAUUGUGUGCUUUGGAAACUGUACAACUUGAGUGCAGAAGGGGAGAGUGGAAUUCCAUGUGUAGCGGUGAAAUGCGUAGAUAUAUGGAGGAACACCGGUGGCGAAAGCGGCUCUCUGGUCUGUAACUGACACUGAGGCUGAAAGCGUGGGGAGCAAACA
rnacentral:rRNA from 1 species